rnacentral:lncRNA from 10 species
GGCACUAUACUCAACACUGGGAAGCAUUCUUUAAAUACUGGCUGAAUGAAUACGCACCACAAGAAAGUGCCUCUGCUUUUAAAGACGUGUCAAGAAAAAUUUGAAAUACGCAUACAAUCUGUCCAAUGAAUCCCACUUUUAGGAAAUGUGUCCUAAGGAAAUCAUUUGAAGAGCAUGCUAAGAUUUCUAUCUAAGGAUAUUCACGAUAUCAUUGAUUAAACUAUCAAAAUUUGAAAUAGCCCAAAUGUCUUACAGUAGAGAAUUAGCUAAAUAUAUCAUUCCUUAUCCAUAUAUAACACCAUACAGUCAAUUGAAAGAUGAUAUUGAUUUAGACAUAUUGAUAUGGAACAUGCUAAGUGAACUGCUGCGUGAACAAAGUAGUUUCAAAACAGAACAUAUGUCAUGAACUCAGUUUUGAAUUUUAAUUAAUACGUGUACAUCUGCAUAAGAAAAGGUUUAGACCAGAGGUGGGCAAACUUAUUCUGAAAAUGACCAUACAGUAAAUUUUUCAGGCUUUGCAGGCCAUUCAAUCUCUGUCACAAGUACUCAACUCUGCCACUUGUAGUUUGAAAGUAGUCAUAGACAGUGUGUGGAAGAAUGAGUGUGGCUGAGUUCCAAUAAAACUUUAUUUCCAAAAACAGGUAGCAGGCCCAAUGUGGCCCAAAGGCUGCUGUUUGCUCACUCCUGGGUCUAGAAGAAAACAUACUAAACUGCUAACGAAUGGCAGGAUCCAGGUUUUCUCCAAACCACACGACGUGAGGUCGCAGCAAGCCCCCGCAGCCUGCCUCUUCACACCUGGAAGAAUGGGAUCCUUAAGCCAACCCCGAGCCAAGUCUGCC